rnacentral:rRNA from 1 species
ACGGAAGGCAGCAGUGAGGAAUAUUGGUCAAUGGUCGGAAGACUGAACCAGCCAAGUCGCGUGCAGGAAGACGGUCCUAUGGAUUGUAAACUGCUUUUGUACGGGAAUAAAGUUCGGGACGUGUCCCGUUUGGAAUGUACCGUAAGAAUAAGGGUCGGCUAACUCCGUGCCAGCAGCCGCGGUCAUACGGAGGACCCGAGCGUUAUCCGGAUUUAUUGGGUUUAAAGGGUGCGCAGGCGGAGGAUUAAGUCAGCGGUGAAAUUCUGAUGCUCAACAUGAGAACUGCCAUGGAUACUGGUCACCUUGAGAGAUGGCGAGGAUGGCGGAAUGUGAUGUGUAGCGGUGAAAUGCUUAGAUAUGUCACAGAACACCGAUUGCGAAGGCAGCUGUCCAGAGAUCUUCUGACGCUCAGGCACGAAAGCAUGGGUAGCAAACAGGAUUAGAUACCCUGGUA